GCUACAGGCUUAACACAUGCAAGUCGAGGGGCAGCAUUGGAGUAGCAAUACUUCAGAUGGCGACCGGCGCACGGGUGAGUAACACGUAUCCAACCUGCCGCUUACUCGGGGAUAGCCUUUCGAAAGAAAGAUUAAUACCCGAUGGUAUAAAGAGUUCGCAUGUUCUCUUUAUUAAAGAAUUUCGGUAAGCGAUGGGGAUGCGUUCCAUUAGAUUGUUGGCGGGGUAACGGCCCACCAAGUCUACGAUGGAUAGGGGUUCUGAGAGGAAGGUCCCCCACAUUGGAACUGAGACACGGUCCAAACUCCUACGGGAGGCAGCAGUGAGGAAUAUUGGUCAAUGGGCGCGAGCCUGAACCAGCCAAGUAGCGUGAAGGAUGACUGCCCUAUGGGUUGUAAACUUCUUUAUAAGGGAAUAAAGUGAGGGACGUGUCCCUUUUUGUAUGUACCUUAUGAAUAAGGAUCGGCUAACUCCGUGCCAGCAGCCGCGGUAAUACGGAGGAUCCAAGCGUUAUCCGGAUUUAUUGGGUUUAAAGGGAGCGUAGGUUGACAUAUAAGUCAGCUGUGAAAGUUUACGGCUCAACCGUGAAAUUGCAGUUGAUACUGUAUGUCUUGAGUGUACAAGAGGUGGGCGGAAUUCGUGGUGUAGCGGUGAAAUGCUUAGAUAUCACGAAGAACUCCGAUUG
rnacentral:rRNA from 1 species